GGCCGAUUGGCUCAAUGGUAGAGCGUUCCCCUCCUAUAUCAUGGAAAUAGGGAAAGGUUGUGGGUUCGAGUCCCAUGUUGGUCG